AUUGAACGCUGGCGGCAUGCUUUACACAUGCAAGUCGAACGGUAACAGGGUGCUUGCACCGCUGACGAGUGGCGAACGGGUGAGUAGUGCGUCGGAACGUGCCGAGUAGUGGGGGAUAACGCAGCGAAAGUUGUGCUAAUACCGCAUACGUACUGAGGUAGAAAGUGGGGGACCUUCGGGCCUCGCGCUAUUCGAGCGGCCGACGUCUGAUUAGCUAGUAGGUGAGGUAAAGGCUCACCUAGGCGACGAUCAGUAGCGGGUCUGAGAGGAUGAUCCGCCACACUGGGACUGAGACACGGUCCAGACUCCUACGGGAGGCAGCAGUGGGGAAUUUUGGACAAUGGGCGAAAGCCUGAUCCAGCCAUGCCGCGUGUCUGAAGAAGGCCUUCGGGUUGUAAAGGACUUUUGUCGGGGAGGAAAUCCCCAGCGUUAAUACCGCUGGGGGAUGACAGUACCUGAAGAAUAAGCACCGGCUAACUACGUGCCAGCCGCCGCCGUAACAC
rnacentral:rRNA from 1 species